ACGAUCGGGACUCAUCCGAGGCCCCGUAAUCGGAAUGAGUACACUUUAAAUCCUUUAACAAGGAUCCAUUGGAGGGCAAGUCUGGUGCCAGCAGCCGCGGUAAUUCCAGCUCCAAUAGCGUAUAUUAAAGUUGUUGCGGUUAAAAAGCUCGUAGUUGAAUCUGUGUGCCACGCUGUCGGUUCAUCGCUCGCGAUGUUUAACUGACAUGAUUGUGGGACGUCCUACCGGUGGGCUUAGCCUUUCGGGGCGGUCCAGCUAAUAUCCCAUCGCGGUGCUCUUCAUCGAGUGUCGAGGUGGGCCGGUACGUUUACUUUGAACAAAUUAGAGUGCUCAAAGCAGGCUUUGUUCGCCUGGAUACUUCGUGCAUGGAAUAAUGGAAUAGGACCUCGGUUCUAUUUUGUUGGUUUUCGGAACCCCGAGGUAAUGAUUAAUAGGGACAGAUGGGGGCAUUCGUAUUGCGACGUUAGAGGUGAAAUUCUUGGAUCGUCGCAAGACGGACAGAAGCGAAAGCAUUUGCCAAAAAUGUUUUCAUUAAUCAAGAACGAAAGUUAGAGGUUCGAAGGCGAUCAGAUACCGCCCUAGUUCUAACCAUAAACGAUGCCAGCUAGCGAUCCGCCGAAGUUCCUCCGAUGACUCGGCGGGCAGCUUCCGGGAAACCAAAGCUUUUGGGUUCCGGGGGAAGUAUGGUUGCAAAGCUGAAACUUAAAGGAAUUGACGGAAGGGCACCACCAGGAGUGGAGCCUGCGGCUUAAUUUGACUCAC
rnacentral:rRNA from 1 species